GGAGGGGUGGCAGAGUGGUUUAUUGCGCUUGACUGUCCAUCAAGUAAACCUCUCGGUUUCGCGGGUUCAAAUCCCGCCCCCUCCACCA
rnacentral:tRNA from 1 species